rnacentral:ribozyme from 1 species
UGCCCAGCAAUUCCUAUCCCUACUUCAGCGUAGUACUGGCUGGGAACUACGAGCAACCUUAGGGAAGAUCGGGUAACCAACCCCGGUGUGAACUUUGGUCGUAGGCUGACAGGGAAGG